UCCUACGGGAGGCAGCAGUUUCGAAUCAUUCACAAUGGGCGAAAGCCUGAUGGUGCGACGCCGCGUGAGGGAUGAAGGCCUUCGGGUUGUAGACCUCUGUCACCGGGGAAGAAACGCUUCAGGUUAAUAUCCUGAAGCCUGACUUAACCCGGAGAGGAAGCAGUGGCUAACUCUGUGCCAGCACCCGCGGUAAUA
rnacentral:rRNA from 1 species